rnacentral:rRNA from 1 species
GACGAACGCUGGCGGUGUGCUUAACACAUGCAAGUCGAACGGAAAGGCCCUGCUUUUGUGGGGUGCUCGAGUGGCGAACGGGUGAGUAACACGUGAGUAACCUGCCCUUGACUUUGGGAUAACUUCAGGAAACUGGGGCUAAUACCGGAUAGGAGCUCCUGCUGCAUGGUGGGGGUUGGAAAGUUUCGGCGGUUGGGGAUGGACUCGCGGCUUAUCAGCUUGUUGGUGGGGUAGUGGCUUACCAAGGCUUUGACGGGUAGCCGGCCUGAGAGGGUGACCGGCCACAUUGGGACUGAGAUACGGCCCAGACUCCUACGGGAGGCAGCAGUGGGGAAUAGUGCACAAUGGGCGGAAGCCUGAUGCAGCAACGCAGCGUGCGGGAUGACGGCCUUCGGGUUGUAAACCGCUUUCGCCUGUGACGAAGCGUGAGUGACGGUAAUGGGUAAAGAAGCACCGGCUAACUACGUG